rnacentral:rRNA from 1 species
GAUAGGUAAUGUGNNUGCAGAAUUCAGUGAAUCAUCGAGUCUUUGAACGCACCUUGCGCUCCCUGGUACUCCGGGGAGCACGUCUGUUCGAGUGUCCUA